rnacentral:rRNA from 1 species
UACGGAGGGGGCAAGCGUUAUCCGGAUUUACUGGGUGUAAAGGGAGCGUAGACGGUGAUGCAAGUCAGAAGUGAAAGCCCGGGGCUCAACUCCGGGACUGCUUUUGAAACUGCCAAGCUAGAGUGUCGGAGAGGUAAGUGGAAUUCCUAGUGUAGCGGUGAAAUGCGUAGAUAUCAGGAGGAACACCAGUGGCGAAGGCAGCUCACUGGACUGCAACUGACACUGAGGCUCGAAAGUGUGGGUAUCAAACAGG